GAUGAACGCUGGCGGCGUGCCUAAUACAUGCAAGUCGAGCGACCGGACGAGAAGCUUGCUUCUCUGAUGUUAGCGGCGGACGGGUGAGUAACACGUGGAUAACCUACCUAUAAGACUGGGAUAACUUCGGGAAACCUGAGCUAAUACCGGAUAAUAUUUUGAACCGCAUGGUUCAACAGUGAAAGACGUUCUUGCUGUCACUUAUAGAUGUAUCCGCGCUGCAUUAGCUAGUUGGUAAGGUAACGGCUUACCAAGGCAACGAUGCAUAGCCGACCUGAGAGGGUGAUCGGCCACACUGGAACUGAGACACGGUCCAGACUCCUACGGGAGGCAGCAGUAGGGAAUCUUCCGCAAUGGGCGAAAGCCUGACGGAGCAACGCCGCGUGAGUGAUGAAGGUCUUCGGAUCGUAAAACUCUGUUAUUAGGGAAGAACAUAUGUGUAAGUAACUGUGCACAUCUUGACGGUACCUAAUCAGAAAGCCACGGCUAACUACGUG
rnacentral:rRNA from 1 species